CCUACGGGAGGCAGCAGUGGGGAAUAUUGCGCAAUGGGCGAAAGCCUGACGCAGCGACGCCGCGUGAGGGAUGAAGGUCUUCGGAUCGUAAACCUCUGUCAGCAGGGAAGAACGGUCACUGUGCUAUUCAGCAGUGAAUUGACGGUACCUGCAAAGGAAGCACCGGCUAACUCCGUGCCAGCAGCCGCGGUAAUACGGAGGGUGCGAGCGUUAAUCGGAAUUACUGGGCGUAAAGCGCUCGUAGGCGGUAUGUCAAGUCAAGGGUGAAAUCCCCGCGCUCAACGUGGGAACUGCCGUUGAAACUGGCAAACUGGAGUGUGUGAGAGGAUAGUGGAAUUCCAGGUGUAGGAGUGAAAUGCGUAGAUAUCUGGAGGAACAUCAGUGGCGAAGGCGACUAUCUGGCACAUAACUGACGCUGAGGAGCGAAAGCGUGGGUAGCAAACAGGAUUAGAUACCCUGGUAGUC
rnacentral:rRNA from 1 species